rnacentral:rRNA from 1 species
CCCUUAGAUGUCCGGGGCUGCACGCGCGCUACACUGAAGGAAUCAGCGUGCUAAAACCAUUGUCGAAAGGCAUUGGUAAACCCAUUAAAAUCCUACGUGAUUGGGAUCGGGAAUUGCAAUUAUUUCCCUUGAACGAGGAAUUCCCAGUAAGUGUGGGUCAUAAGCUCGCGUUGAUUACGUCCCUGCCCUUUGUACACACCGCCCGUCGCUGCCCGGGACUGAGCCGGUUCGAGAAAAGCGGGGACUGCUGCUGUCGGGGCUUUCGGGCCUUGGCUUCGGUGGAAACCGCUUUAAUCGCAGUGGCUUGAACCGGGCAAAAGUCGUAACA